rnacentral:rRNA from 1 species
CGCCUGGAAAUUACGAGCUUUAGCUUGAAAUCCAAGGGACUUGACGGUGUUCUACCCUCCUAGAGGAGCCUGUCCUACAAUCGAUGAUCCCCGCUACACCCAACCAUUUCUUGCCUUAUUCAGCCUGUAUACCUCCGUCGCCAGCCCACCAUGUGAACGUUAGUGUUUUUGGCCUAAUAAUCAGCCUAAUAAAUACGUCAGGUCAAGGUGCAGCCUAUGAAAUGGAAUGAGAUGGGCUACAAUUUCUAAUUUAGAACACACGGAAACUCUAUAUGAAGUAUAGUUAUUGAAGGUGGAUUUAGUAGUAAAAAGAAAUUAGCGUGUUCUUUUUAACCAGGCGCUGGAACGUG